UUACACAUGCAAGAACAAUUUUUCUAAUUAUUGCAACUUACAAAAUUUUAAUUAGAUUAUUUUUAUUUAUCUCCCAAUAAAAUUGUGAGGGUAAAAGGUAAUCGAAAUUUUGCAAUGGCGGAAAGCGCCAUCAAGUACUAACGCGCCAAAACGCCUCUAGGAAAAGGAUGGCCAAAGAGAAAGCUCCGUAGUCCCUGUGCGGGUCAUGCGACCCGGCCAUCCAUUCACGAGGUCGUCGCUUUCGAUUUCUCCGGGUGCACUUACCUAGAGAAGCUUCUUCUAAGUCGUUAAUGAUCCUGAAUCUCCAGAAAUUUCUCGCUUAAUACAAAGGUGGUCGGGAAUAAAAGACGAAAGAAUGCAAAACACUUCUUUCGUUGUUUCCUGAUAGCUGAUUUUCGAUUGAUCCAAUGUUAAACGUAAGCUCGUCCAAGACUUGUCGAUCGCGACGAGAAAGAAGAAUGAACUGUGGUAUACGAGCAAGCAACCGGUAUAUAGCCGGCCCACAUUCCCUUCUGGCUCGAGUAACCCAGAUUCUUCCCACCCAUGUGUCUGGGGAACAUCUUCGGGGGCCUGAAAGGGGCCCUGGAUAAUUCCCAUCUUGCCCCGGCACCUCUCACUGGUCACUUCCCUCACCCGUUGCCUCCGAGCUUCCCCGAAGUCGUCAUCUUUCGGAGCUACAAUUCGUUUUUCUCGUAUUGGAAUCCAUCACUGUAAUUGAUUCUUUUAAAGGAAUUGUUCUUUCGUUGACCAACGAUAGGCAAUGCCCGCAAGGGCAUAGUGCACGAGCAGGCAGGGCGUCUGCACUUUCAGCCACUGAUACGAAGAUAAUUUUUUAAUUUAAAAAUUAUAAAUCAUCAAAUUUCGAAAUUUUCAUAUCCUCAUAAUCACACAUCUCUAUACUCUUGAGAUCUUUAGCAGGCAUCCGUCUAACACACUGCGAAAGCUUUCAUUUAUGUCAUUGGUAACAACGCAAAAACGACCCUGAAGGAAAGUAUAAAAUAUAACGGAUUAUCGUGUGAAAUAUAAUUUAUUAAUACAAAAGUGUAUAUGGCAUUAUGCUAUUUGUUGUAGUACCAUUGUCCUUAAUAAUUAAAUAUUUCUGUUGAUUUAAAAUUAAAUUACAGUAUGAUAAAAUGUUUAACUGCUGUCAUAUACUACAAUGUAAUGAUGCAAUGUUCACCUAGUCCCAUAUAAUCCAAAAUGUGUUCUUGUAUUUAUCAUUUAAUCAAUAAAUCCCUUUAAAAAUCA